rnacentral:rRNA from 1 species
CCUACGGGAGGCUGCAGUGGGGAAUAUUGGACAAUGGGGGCAACCCUGAUCCAGCCAUGCCGCGUGUGUGAAGAAGGCCCUCGGGUUGUAAAGCACUUUCAGUGAGGAAGAACGCCUGGUGGUUAAUACCCAUCAGGAAAGACAUCACUCACAGAAGAAGCACCGGCUAACUCCGUGCCAGCAGCCGCGGUAAUACGGAGGGUGCGAGCGUUAAUCGGAAUUACUGGGCGUAAAGCGCGCGUAGGUGGCUUGAUAAGCCGGUUGUGAAAGCCCCGGGCUCAACCUGGGAACGGCAUCCGGAACUGUCAAGCUAGAGUGCAGGAGAGGAAGGUAGAAUUCCCGGUGUAGCGGUGAAAUGCGUAGAGAUCGGGAGGAAUACCAGUGGCGAAGGCGGCCUUCUGGACUGACACUGACGCUGAGGUGCGAAAGCGUGGGUAGCAAACAGGAUUAGAUACCCGGGUAGUC